rnacentral:rRNA from 1 species
UAACGAAUAUUGGGCAAUGGGCGCAAGCCUGACCCAGCGACGCCGCGUGUGGGAAGAAGUUCUUCGGAAUGUAAACCACUGUCAGGGAUUACCAAGCAAGUGCGCCUAACAUGCGCGCAAGUUGAGGCAUCCCAGAGGAAGCCACGGCUAACUUCGUGCCAGCAGCCGCGGUAAUACGGAGGGUGCAAGCGUUGUUCGGAAUCACUGGGCGUAAAGGGCGCGUAGGCGGUUUGAUAAGUCAGAUGUGAAAGCCCACGGCUUAACUGUGGAAGUGCAUUUGAAACUGUCAGACUUGAGAGUGGGAGAGGGAGGUGGAAUUCCGGGUGUAGUGGUGAAAUGCGUAGAUAUCCGGAGGAACACCAGUGGCGAAAGCGGCCUCCUGGCCCAUUUCUGACGCUCAGACGCGAAAGCCAGGGGAGCAAACG